AACGAACGCUGGCGGCGCGCCUAAUACAUGCAAGUCGAGCGAGAAGACGUAGCAAUACGUUUGUAAAGCGGCGAACGGGUGAGGAAUACAUGGGUAACCUACCCUCGAGUGGGGAAUAACUAGCCGAAAGGUUAGCUAAUACCGCGUACGCUCCUUGGACUUCGGUUCAGGGAGGAAAGCGAUACCGUGGGUAUCGCGCUCUUGGAUGGGCUCAUGUCCUAUCAGCUUGUUGGGAGGUAACGGCUCACCAAGGCUUCGACGGGUAGCUGGUCUGAGAGGACGAUCAGCCACACUGGCACUGCGACACGGGCCAGACUCCUACGGGAGGCAGCAGUAAGGAAUAUUGCGCAAUGGGCGAAAGCCUGACGCAGCGACGCCGCGUGGGGGAUGAAGGUCUUCGGAUUGUAAA
rnacentral:rRNA from 1 species